UUCUUCUCUGUUAUUUCUCUUCUUUCUUUUCCUCUUCUCUGUCGAUCUCAAACCAGAGGAAUUGAUAUUGAAUCUUGUUCAAGUAAGCUUAAGAUAUUGAUAACCCGAUGGUGUUGAAGUUGGUUUAACUUUAGAUGAAGAAGAAACGAUAUAUCAAAGAGAAACCGAGGUUAAUUAGGGUUUCUGAAAGAUGAAGUUUAAUUGAGGUUUUGUGGAAUUGAUUUGUGUAUUGAGUUCCUGAUGGAAGAAGAUUGAAUGGGUUGACGUUUAAUUGUAUUUUUGAAGUUGAUUCAAUGAUGAAUCGAAGAACUAGGGUUUCUCAUAAGAUUGUCUAGGGUUUCGGCUGAUGAUGAAUAAGAUGGGAUUAGAGAUGGGUUUUGUAUUUUGAGAAAAAAGAAGAAGAAUUGAUUGAAGAUCUGGGGUUUUGUGAGAUUGUCAUGUAGUGUUUCAGAGGAAGAAUCUAUUGAUGGUGUUGAGAUUGAUUGUACUGAACUGGUGGGAUGUUGUGGUCUCAAGAAGAAUUGAAGAAUCGAUUCAAACAAGAAGAAUAAUCUAAUUCAAUUGCAGAACUGAAACUAAGUGAGGUAAUUGUUAUUUCCUAGUUAUUUUGGUAAAGUCCAGUUUCAUAUAUGUGAUUGUGUGAUUGAUAAGGAAGUUGAGACUUAAAAUGUUGUGUUGUGGCUGGAUAUGAAAAGGUAGGCGUUAUGUGUUGAUCUGAGUAAAUGUUGACGUUGCAGAGAAGAAUUGAAAUAAUGAUGAACUGUUUGUACAGUUGAGUUUAUGGAAUUGGUGUUAUUGUUGAGCAUGCUAAAUCUAGGGGAAAAGAUAUUGAGUUGCAAUGGAGUUGUUCAACUAGCUAGUGAUGAAGUUGAAGUGAACUUGGAGAUAAUGGAAUUGAACUGUGUAUGGUUGUAUUACAAGUAGUGGUUAUAUGUGUUGAGAAGAACUGAAAAUUGUUCUGUUGCAGGUAAUGGUGUUUAACUGAAGUUGUGUUGUUUUGAGUAAAGAAGUUAUAGAUGAUGGGGUUAUUGUAAUGAGUAGUUGCAGGAUAUGGAUUAAUGGUAUGUUGUUUGUGAAUGGCGUAGACGUUGGUACUAUUGAUGGUAUAUGUUGCAGUUCAUGAGAUUGGAUGUUGAUGUUGUUGUACUGGUGGUAAUGAAGAUGGAUGUUAUUGGGAAAUUCAGAGUUUGGAAAUGGUGAUGGAAUUGAAAUAAUAGUAUGAGUGAGUUUCAGGGUGAAGGUCUUAGUGGUUUGAGUUAAUGAGCAUGUAUAGCAGAUGGUUGUGUUGAGCUGCAACUGCAGAUAUCAUAUGAAUUGUAGAAAGAUGUUGCUUAAAGCUGUAAUUGCAGUUAGUCUAUAUUAACAUCGAUCGAUUCAAAGGAUGAACCAAUGGAUCGUGGAUCUCGAGGUAGGCGUGGCUUGGCAUCAAAAGAGUUUCAGAGACAGAUCAGAGUUGCGCAGCGGAAGCUUCGAGGAGUUGAGUCCGUUAGUUUACUUCUGCUAUGUUAUUAUAUUGCAUAUUAUAUUUGUAAACCAAAUGACUAUUGUAUAUGUAUCAUUUGAGAGAAAUUCUUGUACAUAUAUAUAUAUAUAUAUAUAUUUCUGAG